AACGAACGCUGGCGGCAUGCUUAACACAUGCAAGUCGAACGCCCCGCACGGGGAUUGGCAGACGGGUGAGUAACGCGUGGGGACAUACCCUCUUCUGCGGCAUAGCCCCGGCAAACUGGAAUUAUUACCGCAUACGCCCUACUGGGGAAAGAUAUAUCGGGGAAGGAUUGGCGCGCGUUGGAUUAGCUAGUGGGUGGGGUAGAGGCAUACCAAGGCGACGAUCCAUAGCUGGUCUGAGAGGAUGAUCAGCCACAUUGGGACUGAGACACGGCCCAAACUCCUACGGGAGGCAGCAGUGGGGAAUAUUGGACAAUGGGCGCAAGCCUGAUCCAGCCAUGCCGCGUGAGUGAUGAAGGCCUUAGGGUUGUAAAGCUCUUUCACCGAUGAAGAUAAUGACGGUAGUGGGAGAAGAAGCCCCGGCUAACUUCGUG
rnacentral:rRNA from 1 species